rnacentral:rRNA from 1 species
GACGAACGCUGGCGGCGUGCUUAACACAUGCAAGUCGAACGGAGUUAAUUGAGAGCUUGCUCGAGGUUAGCUUAGUGGCGGACGGGUGAGUAACGCGUGAGGAACCUGCCUACAUCAGGGGGACAACAGUUAGAAAUGACUGCUAAUACCGCAUAAGACCACGAGAUGGCAUCAUCAAGGGGUAAAAGAGAUAUGUAUCGGAUGUAGAUGGCCUCGCGUCCUAUUAGUUAGUUGGUGGGGUAACGGCCUACCAAGACCGCGAUAGGUAGCCGACCUGAGAGGGUGAACGGCCACACUGGAACUGAGAAACGGACCAG